UAUUAAAAAUUUCAUCCUUUGUACUAUUAAGGCAGUGAUGCUUGGCGUGCAAUAUCUACUUUAUGCUAACUUACAGAGACCAGUUUUUAACAGUAAAAAUUGAUGAAAUUUUUAACA
rfam:Gossypium hirsutum cultivar TM-1 scaffold4537.1_1, whole genome shotgun sequence